CCAAUUCACGUUGUCCUUGAAGCGCCGCCAUCUUCCCUCCUCCCUCCUCUCCUGCUCCUCUCCCCUCCAGCUCCCUGCCACCUCAGCCACCAGCGUUUGGCUUUUUCCACUCUUGUGGCACAUUACUGUAACGCUAUUGUGCGACAAUUCCCGGCUUCUUUUGGGCUCGCUCAGAAAAAUAAAAACAAAAAAAAAAAAACAACAACAAAACAAAAAAAAGGGCAGCAGUGUGUCGGUCAGUCGGGGGGGGGGACGACGCAUCUCCCGCGAAGAGACAAGAAUCCAAAGUGCAACUCACCUCACUAUUUCUUGGCCGGGGGAAGAAAAGCAAAGAGGAGAAGACGGACGAGGAGGAGCAAGAAGCAGCAGCAGAGUUCUGCUGAGGAAGAGCGCGGGAAGAGGCGGCGCGGCGCGGACCUGCUGGCGUUUGGACCUCGACGGGUCGACCUCUCCGAAGAGGGCCGUGCCCUCGCUCUAACUUCAACUGGCAACUCGUCAGCAACGAAACCAAUCGUCCUGCAUUUUUUUGUGUGUCGCCCAUCAAAACGACACGACACGUGGUAUUGAAAACUGAAGACAUAUUUCAAGCACAGUGCAGUGAUUGUGAUUAUUAGCAAGCUGGAUUUCUUUUGGAUCGGCCGAUACGUAGUCAUUGCAUUUUCAAUCGCAUUGAUAUUUUUUCACUUUUAAAUUAUUGCCACAUUUUUGUGGGGGGGGGGGGGCAGCGGGAGACUACCUUCCUGAGGUGCAUUCGUGUCUCUUAUCUUUUGCUCUUUAGAAAGCUAUUAGAAACAGCACUCGGUGUGAAGCAAUAACACACUACUGCCAAUUACAACACAUUACAUUUUUAAGCGCUACAGUAAAUCAUCUAACAUUUUUUUUCUGAUCAUUUCAAUUCAGUGUUAAGGAUAUCAAAUUCAAUAAAAUUCAACGGUAUGAAUAGAAUGGCAUAAUUAGUCAAAUAUCACCCCCCCCUCCACUGAGGUCCAACAUGCCAAUUUUACAGACUGCAUGUUACAUUUGUAGAAUAUUUUAGUUUUAGUUUUAGGCAGGUUUUAUUCCUAAAAAAAAAAAAAAAAA